AUCACCGCUUUACAAUUUGUGCUAAAAGAAAACUUACAACACAUUUAAUAAGGAUGAGGAAUGAGAAUGAGAACGUUCUCCUAAGCAAUUUAAUGUAUUUAAGGUGCGAGUAGGCUUUAUAAAUCAUAAAGUUAUAAAACCAUAUCUCAUAUAUGCAAAUGGGAGAGAGUAUGGCGAAAAUUGUAAAGUUUGUUUAUUUUGUGAUUAUCUUUGCUUCUCCAUUUGUUGUUGCAAACCAUGAAAUCAGCGGAUGGAUCACAGAACUUCCUUUUGGCAUGUGUACUUCUAUUCUUGAUUGUCCAAUGGAUAGUUGCACACAUCCUCAACAACCUUGGUGUGAAUUACAUGGUGUCCCUAUUCUGUAUCAUGGAUCCGAAAUAGGACUCUGUAUAUGUAUUUGAGUGUUGUGCUCGUAACAUUCUACUAAAAAGAUCUAUAAGUUUUCAUUUCGUAAUUUUAUCGGAACCCAAUAAUUUGUAUUUUUUACAUUUUCUGUUUUCACGAACCAUAUAGCUAUGGUUUUGUACUCUAAGAUGAUCGCAAUAAAAUUAAACAUGGAAUUUAAAAUUAAUGUUUAGAUUUAA